UUUUUUGAAUACCUUUAUUAUAUAUCUUGAUCUCUCCAUGUGAGAACACAGGCUUUCCUGAUUCAUUUUCAUAGCUUGUAUCACAUUUUGUCAUGUAGAAUUACCAUGUUUUAUUCAACCAGAUCCCUAUAUCUGGACACAUAGAUUUUUCUUAUUCUUUUGCCAUUAUUAAAUGCCACAAUGGAUAAGUUUUUAUAUAUAUAUAUAUGUAUAUAUAUAUCUUUUUGUACUUGUGCAGGUAUAUCUGUAGGAUAGAUUUCUAGAAAUGGUAUUGCUGAGUAAUAGAGUAAAUAUAGCUGGGAUCUUAAAAGAUAUUAUCAGAUUUUGCUCUCUAGGUUCCAUUUUUAAUUUCCACAAGUGAAGUAUAAGAGGGCCUGUUUCCCCCAGCCUCACCCACAAAAGGUGUCUUUUUUUUGAAUUUAUGCCCAUAUAUUAGAUGGGAAAUAGUAUCUCGGUGUAGUUUUAUUGUUCAUUUCUAUUACUGUAAAUUAAGUUUAGCAGCUCUUCAUAUACUUGGACUGUAUUAUUAUUAUCAUUUUUUUCUGUGAGUAGUCUGCUCACAUCAUUGUCAAUUUUUACACUGACCUGUUUUUCUUCUCCAUUCGUAGGACCUUUUUGUGUUUUAUUGAGAAAUUAACCUUCUGUCUGUGAUACAGACAAAAAAGUGCUUUUUUCCUAGUUUGUUAUUUGCUCUUUAUUUUUCUAACAUUUUUAUCCACAUAAAAGAUAUAGAAUUUUGUGCAAAGUAAUCAAUGUUUCUUUCUUUGGCUUUAGGCUGUAGGGUUAUAUUUAGAAAGGACUUCCUUAUUUUAGGGAUAUAAAAGAAUUCAUCCACGUUUCUUCCUAGUACUUAAGUUUGGAAAAUUUAUAAUUUUGCUCAAUUUGGUGUGUAUCUUUCUCCAAAAGACCCUCAAUUUCUUUUCCAAGAAAAUUUAUUAAAAUGCCCCAUAUUACCUCUGAUUUAAUUAUUAUAUUAGGGUUCUUUAGAGGGACAGAACUAAUAGGAUAGAUGUAUAUGUGAAGGGAAGGUUAUUAAGGAGUAUUGACUCACACGAUCAAAAGGUGAAGUCCCACAAUAGGCCAUAUGCAAGCUGAGGAGCAAGGAAGCCGCUUCAAGUCCCAAAACCUAAAAAAUAGGGUAGCUGACAGUGUAGCCUUCAGUCUGUGGCUGAAGGCCUGAGAGCCCCUGACAAACCACUGGUGUAAGUCCAAGAGCUUAAAAGCUGAAGAACUUGGAGUCAGAUGUUCGAGAGCAGGAAGCAUCCAGCAUGGGAGACAGAUGAAGGCUGGAAAACUCAGCAAGCUGACACUCAAUAUUAACCACCACAAACAGAAUCAUAGGCUCAAUUAGCUGAAAGGAAACAAGUUUGAGAUGUGAAUCCCUCCUUAUGUAGACUUCAGAGGACACCACCCACGCAUGCAUUCGAGAUGGGAAGAUGUGGGG
rnacentral:lncRNA from 10 species